UACGUAGGGGGCAAGCGUUGUCCGGAUUUAUUGGGCGUAAAGAGCGUGUAGGCGGCCAGGUAGGUCUGCUGUGAAAACUCGAGGCUUAACCUCGAGAUGUCGGCGGAAACCAUCUGGCUAGAGUCCGGAAGAGGAAAGUGGAAUUCCUGGUGUAGCGGUGAAAUGCGCAGAUAUCAGGAAGAACACCCGUGGCGAAGGCGGUUCUCUAGUACGGUACUGACGCUGAGACGCGAAAGCGUGGGGAGCGAACAGG
rnacentral:rRNA from 1 species